ACCUCUGUAGCUUAAACACCUAAAGCAUUG
rnacentral:tRNA from 1 species